GGUUCGAUGGUCUAAUGGUUAUGAUUUCUGUCUCACAUCAAUCACACAGAAGGUUCCCAGUUCGAUCCUGGGUCGAGCCA
rnacentral:tRNA from 1 species